UGAUUCUAAUAUAAAGGGAAUACUUAGCAGAUUUUUUUCAUGUCCAAUUCAUCUUCUCCAAUCCUCCUCCCCACCCCACCCAAACGCCUCUCUCUCUCUCUCUCUUUCACCACCAUCUCAACCAAAUCCCUCUUUCUCUCUCUCUCACCAAUUGCCGCCGCCGCCACCUUGCCACCACCACCACCACCACCUUCUCCACCGUCAUCACCAAUCCAUGCCACCACCACAGUCACCGCUCCCACUAGCACCAGUCUCGGCCACUUGGCCCGGCCCUCCGUCACCCUAGCAAUCCCAACCUCCAACUGAUCCCUCGAUGCCCGACGACGAGAAAGAAAAUGGUGCCGACGGGGAGCAUGAUCUAGGACUGGCAAUUUAGUCCCAUAAGUAUUGAAUUUUUGGCAAUUUUGUCGCGGCGGAGAGAUUUGGGGCUUAGGAUUCCGAUGUCCACGUGUGCGCAACUUAAACACCUAGCAGCUUUGCGUGGCUAAUGAAAUGGCGUGGGCGAGAAAAGAGGCCCUCUUCCCGCUUUUUUUCACUCCUAUAGUAGAGGAUGUCGAUUUUUUAUAUGGGAUGACCCACCUAUGUGUGCUACAACUUUGUGUGUCAUACCCGGUUUGCAUUGCAAGCUUCAAGGAAUGGAAACCAAAGCAAAAUUGUCGAAGAAGAAAACAUUUUGGCUUAAAGUUUGCUCGAUGGCAUCAUGAUUUCUGUUGGUCGGUUUUUGGAUGGGUAAACUGAUGCUGGUUUUUGGAUGAGUCAUUCCAGGUUGCUAGAUUGGUAGGAACUUACAUUAUGUUGUUAGAUAUGGGUAAACAUAAGAUGGGGGAAAUGUAAUGGUAUUUUGUGGUUUUGAUAAUGAAAUUGAAAGCCUCAAAUUUGAAGCUUUUGUGAAUUUUGU